GCAAGGGACGGGGAGGGUCGCGGCGACACUCGCGCCAGCUCCCGGGACGCCAGGGCGGAUGGGCUUGGGUUGGUCGCCGGCCUCCGACCCUCGACUAGGUGCCUGGC
ensembl:miRNA